CUUUCCGGAGAUUUUUAAAAGGUGGCUCUCUCUCUCUCUCUCUCUCUCUCUGUGAAAUUCUUCCAAUUUCCAUUAUGUUUCACUGUGAUUAUUGGAGAGGUUAAAGAAUUGUAUAACCAUUGUGUUGUAGACUUGAAAGAAAGGUUUCAAUCUGUUAUUUUUUAGCGUGGUGCACUAGUUUAGCUGUGUUAGUUCUUGUGAAGUUUAGGGUUGAUUCUUAUAUCUGGUUCUUGAGAUCUUUAUGUGAUCUAUGAUUAGAACCUUAAGAGAAAGUCAGAUUGGUUCCUUUGUACAUUGAUCUCUUUGGAAGGCCGGUUAUACAUAGUGGAUUGGGCUGAUCCUGAGCCCCUCAGAUUAGCCCUUAUUUGGGUGAAAUGGGUGACCAUUUUUUGGUGUUCUUAUUCUUUACAUUUUCUGCAUUUUAUUUACUGUUUGAGAUGCUGUGAUUUUUGCCAAAUGAUAGAUGUUUUUGGUUUGACUGAGUGGCUGAAAAUAAAAGAUCAUUGAGAUUGAAAGCCAAUCUGCAGUUGACACAUAGUUGAAAUGAGAUGCUGAGCUAUCAUUGUUGAGCUUGGAUAUUCUCAGUUUUUGAGUUUAUUUUUGUUUUUGUUUGUAUAACAUAGGACAUGGGUGUAUGGUUACGGUUGUUUGAGUAAUAUAAUUAAAUCCUUGAAGAUUGUUCUUUAAAUAUCUUUGCAAUUGCUUAUUUGUACGAAAAUAACAUUUUAGUAAGAGACUUGCUAGAAAAACAGAGGGUCUGACCGGCCCCCUGACCGAACCCCACCCAUGGCGGGACUGGGCCUGUCAGCCCUGUUUAUCUAGCAAAUUUCUUUUAGUGAUCGUGUGUUAUUCUUCUUUACACUUCCGCUUGCAUAAUUUUGCCUACUACUUGUCUGAAUUUUUCUGGUACCUAGACUCAGCAUGUUGACCUUAAUUGACACUGUUCACUUUCAAUUGUAAAUGUAUUAUCAAACAAAUUAGGGUGUAUUUGAUGACAAUGAUCGUAGUUAAAGUGGAUGUUGUGAACAAUGGAACAAUGAAGUUGGAUGAAGAAUUAUGAAGACUCUGGAGAAAAAUGGAAAGCUGGAAUUCAAAAUGUGGUAGACUUAAGAGCAAAAACAUGUUCUUGUACAAGUUAUGUUAAGGUGUGAAUAUAAUUAUCCAUUGAAAAAGUAGAAAUGGGAUAAAAUGACAGUUUUUUGCUCUUUUAAUUAUUUUUACUCGUCAA